rnacentral:tRNA from 1 species
UGUCGUAGAAAAGGGUUACUUCGACUAUUAAUCGACCGGACGCAGGUUCGAUUCCUGCCAGGUA